UAGGGGGACUCAUACGCGGCUCAAAUAGAAAUUGGAUUAUAGGAUUUGCAGGUAACUUUGACACUGCAACCAUCAUCCAUGCAGAACUACAAGCCCUCUUUCAAGGGCUGGAAUAGGCAACUUCUCGCAAUUUGAUUCCCCUGGAAAUAAACGUCGGUGCAUCAAAGGUAUUAACCCUGUUAAAAAAUGAUAAUGUCGUUUAUACUAAUCUAAUUGCUGACUGCAGGCACCUCCCGGACCAAAUGCAUAGUGUCACAAUUGCACAUACCUACAGAGAGGGAAAUGAGGUGGCUGAUCGUUUGGCUAAGGCUAGAUACACCAUGGAAGCUGUUGCAAAACCUAUUGUUUUUGAAGAGCCACCGGAUAUUGUCAACACCUUUUUGCAAAUGGAUCAAGCAGGAGCUGUACGAUAUAGGAGGACGACGUGUAGACCAGCGGAACAAGCUAUGGACAUGGAACAAAACACUUUUUUGAUCUAUGAUGAUGAACAUGCAACCACAACAACCAAUGGCGCCAAUAUUGUAGAAAACUCCAUUGGGAUAAGUAGUAUCCAUCAAUGUAAUAGACAACUAUCAAACAACUAUAAUGGCGAUGCACAUGCAUCACUCUCUCUGUAGUAAUUUUUCGUUAAAUUUUAUGCAAUAUUAUCUUUCUCACCAAAAAAAAAUAUAUAUACACUUUUGAGUCCAAAAUACCCCUAGCAAUCUCCAAUCACGCUCCAAUUAAAUGUAGGGACUCUUUUGUCUUUACAAAAGUUGCCUUUUCUUCUCUACAAUUUCCGUCCAAACACCUUCCACUUCUUCUGCGCAAUUCCUAGUAUAUCCAUGAAGAAAGAAUCACACCCAUCUAAAUCACAGUUCCAAACCCAGUUAGGUAACCAAAAAAGUGAGAGAUAAAUUGACGAUGAGAUGAAUCCAUUUCCAUCAAGAUCAAUCCUAUAAAAAUAACAAUGAAGUUGGUUAGAUUUGGUUUUACUUUUGUUUGCUGGGUUUACAAGCUUAAGAAGAUCAGAAGCGUCACUCAAAGAAAUUGGCUAGAUUUGGCUUAACUUUUGAUGGCUGAAUUAAAUAAUAGAUAUGUUGAAAAUCUCAUAAACAACAAUACGUUAUUUUUUGAGAUUUGUGUCUAGUUUUUGGAGCUUCUUUGGAAGGAUGAGGAGUUAAAAAUAUGUUAAUCCCUUCUGAAAGUGGGUUAGUUUUUGGAUUAAUGUUAAUGAAAUUUUUUGUUAAUCCCUACUGAAAAUGAAAAUGGAGCCAAAUUUAAUAUC